GGGUUUACUCAUUGGUCAGGCUUAAUUGUCUGUACUGGUGAGAUGGAUUCCUACCUUCUGAAUAACCAGCAUGCUAUUAAGUUAGUGCGUUGGGGAAGCAGAGCUAUUACCUUGAAAAAAUUAGAGUGCUUAAAGCAGGCUUAUGCUUGAAUAGAUUAGCAUGGAAUAAUAAAAUAGGACGGCAUGGUUCUAUUUUGUUGGUUUCUAGGAUCACCGUA
rnacentral:rRNA from 1 species